CAGCCGCCACGGUAAUACGUAGGUGGCAAGCGUUGUCCGGAAUUAUUGGCCGUAAAGGGCUCGCAGGCGGUUUCUUAAGUCUGAUGUGAAAGCCCCCGGCUCAGCCGGGGAGGGUCAUCGGAAACUGGGAAACUUGAGUGCAGAAGAGGAGAGUGGAAUUCCACGUGUAGCGGUGAAAUGCGUAGAGAUGUGGAGGAACACCAGUGGCGAAGGCGACUCUCUGGUCUGUAACUGACGCUGAGGAGCGAAAGCGUGGGGAGCGAACAGGAUUAGAUACCCGCGUAGUCCCUGUCUCUUAUAC
rnacentral:rRNA from 1 species